rnacentral:rRNA from 1 species
UACGAAGGGGGCUAGCGUUGUUCGGAAUCACUGGGCGUAAAGGGCGCGUAGGCGGCCUUGUAAGUCGGGGGUGAAAGCCUGUGGCUCAACCACAGAAUUGCCUUCGAUACUGCGAGGCUUGAGACCGGAAGAGGUAAGUGGAAUUCCGGGUGUAGUGGUGAAAUGCGUAGAUAUCCGGAGGAACACCAGUGGCGAAGGCGGCUAACUGGUCCAGAUCUGACGCUGAGGUGCGAAAGCGUGGGGAGCAAACAGG